rnacentral:ncRNA from 12 species
GGUUGUUGAAGUGAGAAAUGGCUCCUCAUGCGCUGAUAAUCAGUAAAUAGAGAUGCAGGGUACGCCGACCUGCCAAUAAUC